AAUGAUGUUUGCUUCAAUUUAGUGGGGUCCUUAGUCUCAGGUGAAAUUCAUUGUCUGUUAGUGACUACUCACAGUCUUCAAGAGCCUAGGGAAGGGCAAAGCCACCUUUGCUAGAAAAACAACUUUCUGCGGCAAAGCUUUCCAGGUCCAAAUGCUGUCCUUUUGUCUCAAGGGAUCAGUGGAGCAGCAGUUCUGGUGCUCACAUGAUUCUGGACAUUUUAUUGGACAGCACUACAGCAGAUUUUGAUCCUUGAUGUUUUCCCAUGGAGAUAGGAGGAGCUUGCUUGUGAAAGAUCAGCCCUGAGCUCACAUCGGCUACCAAUCCUCCUCCUUUUGCUGAGGAAGACUGGCCCUGACCUCACAUCCGUGCCCAUCUUCCUCUACUCUACAUGCAGGACGCCUACCACAGCAUGGACAGCCAAGGGGUACCAUGUCCACACCCGGGAUCUGAACGGGCAAACCCCAGGCUGCCGAAGCUGAACGUGUGCACUUAACCGCUGCACCACAGGGCCUGUCCCCCGUACCAACGUUUUAUCAUAAUACCCUCAAGGUCCAUCCAUGCUGUCACAAAUGUCCGGAUUUCGUCAUUUCUUAUGGCUGAGUAGUAGGUGAUAACUUUUUAAAUACAACACGAAAGUCACCAUGCAUUAAAAAAAAGAAUUGAUAAAUUACACUUCAUUAAAACUAAAAAUUUCUGCUCUGUGAAAGACACUGUCAAGAGAUUGAAAAGACAAGCCACAGAUUGAGACAAAUAUUUGCAAAAGACAUAUCAGAUAAGAACUGUUAUCCAACAUACACAAAGAGCUCUUAAAACUCAAUGAUAUGAAAAUGAACAACUCAAUUGAAAAAUGGGCAAAAAGUCUGAGAGACACCUUGCCAAUGAAGAUAUACAGAUGGCAAAUACGCAUGUGAAAGGAUGUUCAACAUGAUACAUCAUUAGGAAUUGUAAAUUAAUUAAAAAUGAGAUGACUGAAAUUUAAAAUGCUGACAACACCAAAUACUGGCAAGAUGUGGAACAGAAAGAAUUCUCAUUCAUUGCUGGUGAGACUGCAAAAUGGUGCAACUGGUUUGAAAGACAGUUUGGCAGUUUCUUUAAAAAACUAAACACAGUUUUACUGUACAAUUCAGCAGUUACACUCCUUGGUAUUAAAUAAGUGAGUUGAAAACUUGUGUCACACAAAAACCUGCACAUGAAUGUUUUUGCAGCUUCAUCCAUAAUGAACAAAGCUUGGAAGUGACCAAGAUAUCCCUCAAUAGGUGAAUGGAUGAAUAAAACAUGGUACAAUUAUACAAUGGAAUCUUAUACAUUAUUCUUAUAUAAAAAGAAAUGAGCUCUUUAGUCCUGAAAAGACAUGGAGGAACCUUUAAUGAAUAUGACUAAGUGAAAGAAGCCAAACUGAAAAGACCAUAUAUUUUAGGAUUGCAAGUAUACGACAUUCAGGAAAAGGCAAACUAUAGAGAUAGUAAGUGUUUCAGUGAUUGCCAAGCAUUUGAGCGAGGAAGGAAUGAAUAGGUGGAGCAUAGAGGAUGUGAUUUUUAAGACAGUGAAAUUAUUCUGUAUAAUACUAUAAGGAUGGAUACAUGUCAGUACACCUUUUUCAGAACCCAUGGAAAGUAUAACACAAAAAGUGAACUCUAACUUAGACUGUCAUCUUUCAUUGAAAAUGAUGUGUUGAUGAUGAAUGGUUGAUCAGUUGUAACAAAUGUGCCACUCCAGUAUGGGAUGUUGAUG
ensembl:lncRNA